rnacentral:rRNA from 1 species
UACGUAGGGUGCGAGCGUUGUCCGGAAUUAUUGGGCGUAAAGGGCUCGUAGGCGGUUUGUCACGUCGGGAGUGAAAACUCGGGGCUUAACCCCGAGCCUGCUUCCGAUACGGGCAGACUAGAGGUAUGCAGGGGAGAACGGAAUUCCUGGUGUAGCGGUGAAAUGCGCAGAUAUCAGGAGGAACACCGGUGGCGAAGGCGGUUCUCUGGGCCGUAACUGACGCUGAGGAGCGAAAGCGUGGGGAGCGAACAGG